GACGAGCGCUGGCGGCGCGCUUAACACAUGCAAGUCGAGCGAUAACCAUGGCUUCGGCCAUGGGGAGAGCGGCGAACGGGUGAGUAACACGUGAGCGAUCUGCCCUCGACACCGGGAUAGCCCGGGGAAACCCGGAUUAAUACCGGAUGGCCUCUCGAGCCCACGGGCUCGUUAGAAAAGAUGGCUUCGGCUUUCGGUCGAGGAGGCGCUUGCGGCGGAUUAGCUUGUUGGGGGGGUAACGGCUCACCAAGGCGACGAUCCGUAGCUGGUCUGAGAGGACGAUCAGCCACACUGGGACUGAGACACUGCCCAGACUCCUACGGGAGGCAGCAGUGGGGAAUCUUGCGCAAAGGGCGAAAGCCUGACGCAGCGACGCCGCGUGAGGGAAGAAGGCCUUCGGGUUGUAAACCUCUUUCAGGAGGGACGAAGCCACUCGGGUUAAUACCCCAGAGGGUGACGGUACCUCCAGAAGAAGUCCCGGCUAACUACGUGCCAGCAGCCGCCGUAAGAC
rnacentral:rRNA from 1 species